rnacentral:rRNA from 1 species
AUGGGCAGCUCCGUGGGCAUCGCUGACGUCGCUGCCACCGCCAUCUCCCCGAUGGCCGUCCGCGAUGACAAGCCAGUGUUCCAGCCGCUCGAUCCUGAGGACGUCCGCGCCUACCUCCACAAGGCCGUCGACUUCGUCUCCGGCUACUACGCCAACAUCGAGUAA